rnacentral:rRNA from 1 species
GCUAAGGCGGAUGAAGUCCUAACCCAUGUGACAUACCUAUUGUUGCUUCGGCGGGAUUGCCCCGGGCGCCUCGUGUGCCCCGGAUCAGGCGCCCGCCUAGGAAACUUAACUCUUGUUUUAUUUUGGAAUCUUCUGAGUAGUUUUUACAAAUAAAUAAAAACUUUCAACAACGGAUCUCUUGGUUCUGGCAUCGAUGAAGAACGCAGCGAAAUGCGAUAAGUAAUGUGAAUUGCAGAAUUCAGUGAAUCAUCGAAUCUUUGAACGCACAUUGCGCCCGCCAGUAUUCUGGCGGGCAUGCCUGUCUGAGCGUCAUUUCAACCCUCAUGCCCCUAGGGCGUGGUGUUGGGGAUCGGCCAAAGCCCGCGAGGGACGGCCGGCCCCUAAAUCUAGUGGCGGACCCGUCGUGGCCUCCUCUGCGAAGUAGUGAUAUUCCGCAUCGGAGAGCGACGAGCCCCUGCCGUUAAACCCCCAACUUUCCAAGGUUGACCUCAGAUCAGGUAGGAAUACCCGCUGAACUUAAGCAUAUCUUUCACUGGAGGGGG